rnacentral:rRNA from 1 species
GAUGAACGCUAGCGGCAGGCCUAAUACAUGCAAGUCGAACGGUGUCUUCGGACAUAGUGGCGCACGGGUGCGUAACACGUAUGCAACCUACCUUACAUUGGGGGAUAGCCUUUCGAAAGGGAGAUUAAUACCGCAUAAGACAGUAGCUGGGCAUCCAGCAGCUGUUAAAGAUUUAUCGAUGUAAGCUGGGCAUGCGUCCAAUUAGCAAGUUGGUGAGGUAACGGCUCACCAAGGCAAUGAUUGGUAGGGGAACUGAGAGGUCAAUCCCCCACACUGGCACUGAAAUACGGGCCAGACUCCUACGGGAGGCAGCAGUAGGGAAUAUUGGGCAAUGGACGCAAGUCUGACCCAGCCAUGCCGCGUGCAGGAUGAAGGCGUUAUGCGUUGUAAACUGCUUUUAUACAGGAAGAAACGACUCUUGCGAGAGGCAUUGACGGUACUGUAUGAAUAAGCACCGGCUAACUCCGUGCCAGCCGCCGCCGUAAAAC